rnacentral:lncRNA from 1 species
GCUGCAAGGAAAUCUGGCGCGGUUCAAUACCUCGUCUAGCCUGGGUUCCAGUAUCUAAUUUUUUUUUUGUUUUAACUGACAAACUCAUUUCUCUACUGGGACAGGAUGCUGUGCUGGCUGGAAGUUCCAUUUCUACAGCAAGAAUCCUAUCUGGAAACACAGAAGUUGUCCUCUAGCCACAGCAGCUCGAACUUUUUUGAUUGUCGUUGCUGCUUUCUCCCAUCACCCCCAUCCCCUUUUGACAAAGAUCCAACUGUAAAAAGUCUUACGUAACAGUUCAGGACUACUUCGGUUCUUUUACUGGAACAGAAGCUUUUUAUACACAUCCCAUAACGCAGCUGGAGAGAGUUAUGAAGUCAGUUAUUAUAAGGAACACAAAGGUUGCUUUCCAUUCUUUGCCUUUAGAUAAUUAAUUUUUUUGUUUUCUUAAAAUGGAGUAUUUAAAGAAGGAAGAAAUUCACAAGAAAUAAACUGUUGGAGAAUUUAGAAAAGUUUGAAGUUUUUACCACCUUUUCUAUCUCUAGUUUUGUGUGGCCAAACACUUGUGCCGCCUGGGGCGGUGGGGGUAGAGGCAAGCAUAGACAGAGAGGAACUAAGCCAGACAUGGACAAAGGCACGAGCCAAAACCAGACAGUCCUGGCCGUUCGAUAGGCCAGCAGUGGGUGAGACAGGUCAGCCAGCUGCAGGGGCGGGAGCGGGGGGGCGGGUAGGGACAUGGAUGUGUGAGGUGCUCAUGCGUGCGAUCGUGACUAGAUUCUGAAACUGCCAGCCAUUUUCCCAGCUCCGCUUUGUGCAAUCUAAAGGAAUGCAUCCCCUCUGAAGCAGUCUUGCCAGAGCCUAGUGAGGGAGAGAAGUAUGGUAAAUACCACAACAUAUGGAAUCAGAAAAUACCGGGAACUGGAGUGGGCAAGGGGGAAUGCAGAGGGUGUGGAAAUUUUUUAGUGAUCUGGAAUGUGUUGAGUGACAGGAAGUGCCCCAAGCUUCUCCCCCACCAACUCUUCUCAGUCGCGCCUGCUUUUGUCUAACUCUUGUAAUCUACACACUACUGCUUACAAAGCUGUCUGAGUUUAAGACAAAAAGAAACCUAAAAGUCUCCUUACUUCAUAGUACCUGUGAUAUGGAAGGAAUGUAAAAGCAUGACCCUUUAAGCCUAUGGACAUUUUUUCAGGUAUACAGGAGAAAGAUAAAAUAAUUUUCCACAGAAAAAUGAGAAUUAUGAAUUAUAUAGUUCAGGUUCCAAAUCUAAUUUUUAAAAGAAUUCUGAUUCUGCUACACUUUACAAAUGCUUAGGUUGGUUCCUAAUUUGAAGCAGACUUGUUUUAUUUGGUUAAUGCAUUGCAUUUGAACUUGUUUCUAUUUUCUUUGCAUAAAUUUGGACUUUGGGAGAAAAAUGCAAAGUAAUAAGUAGAAUGCACUUGGGGGAAAAAAGGAGGAUUUUUCCCUUCAUGGGUUGGAAAGUAUUUUAAAGGGUUGUUUUCUUGAAAAAACAAGCUCUCUCUUACUUUCUGCAUCUAUGCUAUAAAGAUAACUAUGCUAUAAUAAAUGUAAGGUAGAAAACUUUAAAGAGAAAAUAACAGUGUUCUAAGUGAAAAGCUACUUAGCAUUUUCCCAAACUUACACAUUAUCAACAGAAACACUAAAAAUUAAGAGAAAAGCAGCCAACUAAUUAAAUAGCUAGCCUUAUUUUGGGGGUAUGGGAUAGAAAAUUAAGUGUGAAUAAAAUGAUACUUGGGAAUGUUUCUCCCUCGUACCACAAAGGAUGUUAGUGGUCAGCCUACGAGUUAAUCCUUCCUAGCAUGGCUCUGAGCCUUCAUGCCGAGCAGACGUUAUUCACAUGACGAUUCGAAAAGUCCAUUCAUAUAUCUCGCUACCUGGAUUUGAAUAGAAACCAGACAGCAAUUCUUUAGUUCCAGCCACCAUUCGCCCCACUGGACAAUAGCGAUUUGUUAGCACAGAGUCACAGGCUGUGGGACACAAAGCUUGGAGCUGCAGAAAGAUGGGGGAUUCAGAGAACAGGAAAUUACAGGCUCGAUGCACUCCUGGCAGCUCUGAGAAUACAAAAAAAAAAAAAAAAAAAAGGCAACACAGAGAUGCCAUGUUUAAGAGCUACUUCUAGCUUUUUUAACCACCUCCAAUGUCAUAAAAGCUCUAUUGUUGGAGUACAUAAAGUCACGAGUCCCAUGUGCUCGCUUUUCUCACUACAGGGAACUUCAUUCAAUGCCCUUGGCACAGUAAGAAAUAUCAAAAGCAUCCAGAGUUGAUUAGCUGUACACUCUGGUAGAAAGGAGAGCAUUUUAUAAAUAAAAUGUCAGGAAAAAAAUACGCUUAGUAACACAAGUGACAUGUAAUAAAAUUAGUAUCUUUUUAAAAUUCCAAAAGAAAAUAAUUAAAUACAUCAAAACUCGAGGGACAUUAAUUUCUCUCCAAAAUAUCACAUAAAAUCUAUUAUUUAAUUCCAUCAAAAGUUUCUUUAGAAUAUAUAUACCAAUUUAGAGGCUAGCAUUAUACAGAAAACUUCCGAGUUCUGGGUUGUAUUUUCCAAAACAAAGAAUUAAAAUCAAAGCCCCAAGAAUUUAUUCUGGAAUACUAGAAAAAAAAACUACACUUUAUUAUCAAAUUAGUGUAGCUCCCUGGCUAAAUCAGAAAUUGCCUCUACUUCCUUAAGACCUAAAAAAUAAAUUUAAUGGAUAUUCUAAGUGAAUGAGGGAGAGAUACUUCUCCAAUCUCAAGAAACGAGCAGGGGGAAACAGUACAUGGAUUCUUGUCCAGGCCCUCAUGCUGCAACCUGAGCACCAACAGGCCAGACUGGUGUCCAUUUCAACAGGAGGAGGAGACCCUGCACAAGGAAGCUAUAAAUGGUUUUGCUCUUCUGCCCUUCUUCUGUGAUCCAUUAGUAAACACAAGUUCGAAAUGAUAUCAUAUCUGAAAGAUUUAUCAAAUGAGACCAUGAAUGGUCAAAAAAGGCUUUGGAAACAUCAAUUAUUCUAAUCUAUUUGGUCCCAUGAUAAUACGGUGUGAAGCUGAACACGUGCCAGAUUUAAUGGUGCUGGUAAACAUAAUAGCAACCUUUAAGCUACCAACAAUUGGGCUUCCUCAAAUACUAUUAUUACUCACCAAACACAAACAUCAGUUACUAUCCCAAAGUGCGUUGUCCAAUACAGUAGCAACUAGCUCUAUGUGGCUAUUUUGAUUUAAAUUAAUCAAAAUUAAAUAAAACAGAAAACUCAGUUCUUUAGUUAUACACACCACAUUUCAAGCACUCAAUAGCCUCAUGUGACUAUCAUAUGGGAUAGCCCAGAUAUAAGACAUUUCUAUCACUGCAGAAAGUUCUACUGGACAGUGCUGAUCUGGGCUAUGCUUAUAUCCAGCAUACCCAUCUUCAACUACACAUCCAGCUGGACAUGAAAAAAUUUAAGUAAAAAAUACAAUGACAAGUAUGACAAGAUAGCUAGUGCCAUAAUACUUGAGAAAUACCUUUAAAAAAAAAAAAAGCAUUUGAAACCAAGGAUGAGAAAAGAGGUCCAGGUCCAUUUUUUUCCCCCUUGGUUGCAAUGAAGAAGUUACAAAGAAUAUUAGAUAGUACUGGAAGACAGGUAGUCAUGGCCAGAGUACGUGAAAUGCUCCAGAAUGGUACUAAUUUAGUGUCAAAAACUUCUUCCUAAACAUAUGAGACAAUUAAUUCAAUAGUUUCAUGGUAUCACAGCAAUGGACAAUAUGUGUAACAAAAAACCAGGACCUAGAAGUCACUUGGUCUUGAGUAGGUUUAUGAGUAUCAACUUUGCUAGCUAGAUGAUAUUAGGCAAAUUAAUUUACCCCUCUGAAACUUAGUAUCCUUACCUGCAAAAUGGGGAAAUAGACACCCUGCAGGAUUUAUAUAGAACGGCUCGCAGUGAAGUAUGUAAAGUAUCUAGUAAGGUGCCAGGCACAUGGUAGAGAUUCCAAAAAAGAGUAGCUAUUAUUAUUACAUUUUUCCCCUUAAAUACUCACAAUGUGACUCCUUGUAGACUAUCAGAUAGAUACUAUUCAAAACACAAGGCAAGCCUUCAUAAACAAGUAUCCUAAAAUAUUAAUGCUGGCCAUGUCAGCAAUUCAACUGGAAUAAAAUGAAACAUUUGGACAGGAGAUUGCUUUACCAGCCGAUGUGUGACCAUGCUGUCCCAUGCAGGCUGCUUUGUCAAAAAAAAUCUCAUGUCAUAUUUGGCUUACAUAAUCAGCAUGUUCUCUUGUGUUCAGUCUUAUACUUAGGGAUGUAGGGUUAGAUUUUAGAUAAGACGACAAAGGUCUAUAAACAGAAAGCAAAUUUUUAUCUGAGUACAAAGCAAUGAUCUCCAAAUACUGGGAAGCUGAUAUCUGUUCAGGAAAACUUAAAAAGCUAUAUUAGAAAUACAAUGAUAAGAAGCCUUAUUCUCCCUUGCUGAGAUGACAGAAGCAUACAGAAAAACUUUAAAUGAAAAUCCUUAAAGAAAUGAUGAAUUAGGUCUUUUUUCCAAGAAACAUUUUAAACAAUCUAGAUUGUAUAAUAGUAACAGUAGUAAUGAAUUGGCAAAACACCCAGUGCAUCAUAGCCUUCGAUUACUGUGAACUUGGUUUAUGGUCAAGACCGAGUGCAACAAAUGGUACUACCCACAAGCUUCUGUGGUUUUAAAAAAAAAUUUAGAAAGCCAAAGGACUUCUAUGAUGACCACGUCUUAACCCCCAAAUCUACCAUCAAAUAAAUUGGACGUGAUAAACAUGCAUGUGAGAUUCUUAAAUUCGGAUGCCAUUCUCAGCCUAUCUUAUGCCUGCUUGGUGCAAGAAACAUGAGUCUUAGGGUCAAGUGAACAGGGGCUGGAAUCCUGGCUCUGCCCCUUAUUUACUACAGGAUCUUGUACAAGUCACUUCCCCUCUUUGUCUCAGACUCUUCAUUCAUAAAAUACAAAUAUCAAUCCCUUCCUGCCAGGCUGUUUUCAGAGUCAAGGAUAUGUAUAUAAACACUGACCAGUGUUUCUGGUACAUGGAAAACACUCUGGAAAUGCCAAUUCUGUGAACACUCAGUAAGGGCUUGAGGUUCUGUUCAUCGUCUGAGACCACAAAGAAUGGAAAUAGAAGGGUUCCAGGCUGGUUCAUAGCACAGGCCAUUCUCCAUUUAAAUUUUAAAUUAAAACAAACAUAUGAAUGUAAAAACUGUCAACACUGCACAAAUAACUUGAAAUCUUAGAAACAUAAAUAUUGAAUGAACUGAAUGAAUACAGAAAAAGUAUUAUUUGAAAAGUGAGGUGGAAUGUCAGACUUCAAUAAUGUAAGGUAUAAUUUAAUGCUGAUACAAAGUUAGUACCAUUAAGUAUAAAAAAAAAGAACCCUUUUCUUAAAAUAAGAAUUAAUAUUUCCUAGAGACUCUUCUGAGUAAGAUUUCUACGACCUCCUCUUGGUGAUUAAAACAACAACAUCAAAGUCCUAAAAUACUGUCCAAGAAUGAGAAAUUAAAAUAAUUUGAAAACACAGAAAAUUCAUGUCUUAAAAUCAAAGAUUUAAGAAGGAAUUCCUGGGCAAGGUAUUUUCCUACUACAUCUGUGGAUUCAUUUUAAAGUUGAUAAUAAUCCAGCAGGAAUGAGAAAUCAGUGUUUCUUAAUGAUGCCAAAUAAGUGAAAAAUGCUGGAUAUACCACAUAACCUUUUGGAGGACAUAAGGCAGUAGAUUCUCUAAAGCAAACAGCGGAAGUGUAAGGGAGAUUGUGCGAUGUAGUUUAGAAGGAGGGUUUUCUCCCAGAAAUUGGCUGAACUAGAUAUGAUGUCAUAUCUUAGCUCUGCCACUGUUGAGCUAGAUGACUUUUAACAAGUUGCUUCUCUCUGAGUCUCUAUUACCACUGGUGGUCCAAAGAACACAUUCAUACUAAAAGCUAAAGAACAGACAGCACUUAAAGGUAAGAAUCUGGAUAUGCCAGAGGGUUCUCCAUCCUGUCUCUCCAAUACCUCACCACCACAAAAUGUUUUACAGGACUGCUGAAGCAGACAGACGGAUUAGACAGAUAAAUAAAUAGAUAAUGAAUGAAUGGAUGAAUGAAUGAUUCUGAUAAAUCACAAAAGCUCUCCAGAGGAAAGGUUCCUCAAGAACCUCAGCAGAUGGUACUGGGUUCUUACUGAAUGCUAAUCAAGCAGAACCUUUUUUCCAGUCAUUCAUCUAAUCAAUAUUAAGCUUCUAAUAUGUAUCAUGUACAGUAUUAGACACAGGUUGACCAAAUAUAUUACCUGCCUUCAUGGAGCUAACAAGCUAUAAACUGGGAUAACCAUGGGCCAGAAGCCCUAUCAUUCAAGAAAUGGCAGGGGCCAGCGACGGUAGCUCACACCUGUAAUCCCAGCACUUUGGGAGGCAAAGCUGGGAGGAUCACUAGAGCCCAGGAGUUCAAGACCAGGCUGGGCAAUAUAAUAAGAUCCUUGUAUCUCCAAAAAAAAAAAAAAAAAAAAAAAAAAGGUAAAAAUUAGCCAGACUUGGUGGUGUGUGCCUCUGGUCCCAGCUACACAGGAGGCUAAGGCAGGAGGAUCACUUGAGGUUGAGGCUGCAGGGAGCCAUGUUCACCCCACUGCACUACAGCCAGGGUGACAACAAGAACCUUUCUCAAAAAAAAAAAAAAGAAUAAAAUAAAUAAACGGCAGUGAGCUGAGUUCAGAAAUUUUGGGAAUGGUCCAAUGAUUUGGGAAACUGCCUUGCCAUUUGUUGAAGUCAAACUAACAUAAUUCAUAAAAUAAUGGAAAAAUACGCUCAGCUCCAUUUCAUUCAACCAAAGAAUUAUGCUAAACUAUAAGAUCUUAACAGACUUUCAAUGGAGUCAUCAAGCCAUUAAGAAAAUAAAAUACCUUCAAAUACACAGGCUGGUUCCAUAAUGACCAUUAGUCAGAUCUAUGGUAAACCACUCUCUCAUAUAAAAACUGAGUCACCUUUUAAUAGAUGUUUAAGAACAAGAUAAUUUCUGGAGAGGAUGAAAUAAAGCGAGUCUGGGUAUGAAAUGAUGUUGCAGGAGCAGAUCAUGAUACACAGGAGCAUUAAAUGUAAAGCAUGUUUCCUUCAUCUCCUUCCUGAAGACUAUGUUCUCAGCAGUUACCAUUUCCUUUAAUGACACAUGCUAUAAUGAUCAUGAUUACACAGCUAGGUAGUACUCAACCCAUGACUAAUCUGGGCUCUUAACAACCAAGAAUAUUUGAGACAUGGACGAUAACUAUGAACAGAAUGAGAGACCAGAGUCACUAUUGGGUUUCUGUGGCAAUUAAUCUUACGAACCAGAAAGACGCCUACAGAGUGUCUAAAUAUUAACCCCUCUUCCAAUUGGAAUUUACUCUUUGUUGUCCUAGGACUAAUACAAUGAAGUUGUUGUUACCAAUGGGGUAAAGUACACGCAUUUGCCACAAUGAAGCAAUAUUAUCUCCACAGAGCAGGAAGCUCCCAAGAUCCAAAAGUUCCAAUUAAGAAAUUUAUAUUCCAGUUACCUGAUAUUAAAGAUGUUGGAUUUCCACCUAGAUUUUUCUCACUAGUAGACUCAAUAUCAUGUGGCUUUUUCUUUUUCUUUGUUCACUGAAUAUCAAAGUCAAGUGGAAAAGAGGUCUGGCAAAUGUAUUCAGAGCAAAUUAGACAGUUACACCAAAAAAAAAGAAGACCCCAAUUUGGUUAUCUGUUAUUGUGACCUAGAUUUUGGCGGAAUUACCUCUAUGUGGUUCUUUUUUUUUUUUUUUUUUUUUGAGACAGGGUCUCACUUUGUUGCCCAGGCUGGAGUGUAGUAGUGCAAUCUUGGCUCACUGUAACCUCCACCUCCCAGAGACAAGCAAUUCUCCUGCCUCAACCUCCCAAGUAGCUGGGACCACAGGCAUGCACCACCAUGCCCACCUAAUUUGUGUAUUUUUUGUAGAAACAGGGUUUUGCCAUGUUGCCCAGGCUAGUCUCGAACGCCUGGGCUCAAGCAAUCCACCCGCCUUGGCCUUCCAAAGUGCUGGGAUUACAAGCAUGAGCAACCAUGCCCGGCCACCAUUUGGCUUUCUAAUACCAUUACAUUUUGUCAGGCUCAUUUCUCUGUAUAAUCCUCUAUUACUAGAACAGAAAAAUUCCUUUUGCCUGGCCAUUUAAGAGCUUCUAGGUAUAGUUUAAUCAUUCAAAGGAUAUCUGUUGACAGCUUAGUAUAUCCCAAACCCUGUUCUAGGCACCAGGCACACAGCAAUAAACAAGACAAAGGUGUUGUACUCGGGCACUAUAGUCACAGAGACUUGACUCUGUAUCAGCUUGAGCACUUACUGACAUUGUGAAAUGUGCCUCUCUGAAUCUCAGGUUCCUUCCCUGGCGGGGGCGGGGGAAAUAAUACCACUUUAUAGGGCUGUUGUAAGAAUUAUAUGUUUGCCUGUGUCUAGCAUAGCACCUAGAACACCACAGAUGCUUCGUAUGUAGUAGCUAUGGUUUUACAAAUUGCGAAUAUUACUAUUAUCCACCCUACUUUUUUUUUUUUUUGAGACAGAAUCUCACUCUGUCACCCAGGCUGGAGUGCAGUGGCGCAAUGUCGGCUCACUGCAACCUCUGCCUCCUGGGUUCAAGCAAUUCUUUGCCUCAGCCUCCUGAGUAGCUGGGAUUACAGGCACCCGCCACGCCUGGCUAAAUUUUUGUAUUUUCAGUAGAUACAGGGUUUCGCCAUCUUGGCCAGGCUGGUCUUGAACUCCUGACCUCAUGAUCCACCCACCCCAGCGUCCCAAAGUGCUGGGAUUACAGGUGUGAGCCACUGCGUCCGCCUGGCUUAUCCACCCUACUUUCAUAUUCAUGUAUAUGAGAAUAUACAUGAAUAUAGUUUUAAAAAAUAACAGGUUUCAAAGGCAUAAGUAUAUCUAAAAUACGUGCUACAGGUGUUAAGAGCCAAGCAGAACCAUUAAUGAAUGAAAUGCUACUGUAUAUCCCAAACACAAAACUACUUUAAAGUUGGGAUAUUAAUGGUGAAGUAGAUCACUGUCCUCACACAGAUUUCAAAGGGUAGGGCAAUUUCUCUCUAGUAGUAUUACUAUUUCAACAAAUUUAAUCAGAAAUUGUAUAGAAGAAAAAUAUCUAAAAGAUUUGGAGUCUCAUGUCCUACCACAGCCAUCAAGAAGGGCAUAGAAAGCAUGUCUUUCCUCUGAAGACUAUUAUAAAAGCCUCAUAAAAAUGUUCUCUGAAGGAAUAUUCUUAGGCUGACUGUAGUGAUAUACCUUGUAAAAUAACUUACUUUUUCAUCUUAUCGUAGCAGUAUGCUUACUACAGAUGAACUGAGAACAAAAAUAUAAAGACAAAAAUUUAAUCAUAACUUUUUAAGUUAUUUAUAAUCUCACAAGCUAAAGAUACCUGCUGUCAACAUUUGAGAAAUUUCCUUCUAGUCUCAUUCAUUUUAAUUAUGAGUGACUUUUAAAAUACACUUGAUCCUUAAACAUCACAAGGGGUUAGGGGGACCAACCUCCCAUGCAGUCAAAAAUCCAUGUAUAAUUUUUGACUCCCCCAAAACUUUACUAAUAGCCUACUGUUGACCAGAAGCCUUACUGAUAAGUUGGUUAAUACAUAUUUUAUAUGUUAUAUGUGUUAUAUAUUGUAUUACUAUAAUAAACUAGAGAAAAGAAAAUGUUAUUAAGAAAAUCAUAAGGAACACAAAAUAUAUUUACUAUUCAUUAAGGGGAAGUAUAUUGUCACAAAGGCCUUCAUCCUCACUGCCUUCACACUGAGUAGGCCAAAGAGGAGGAGGAAGAGAAGGGGUUGGUCUUGCUGUCACAAGGGUGGCAGAAGAGGUGGAAGGGGAGGCAGAAGAGGCAGCCAUACUUAGUGUAACUUUUAUUGAAAAAUAUCCACAUAUAAGUGGACCUGCGUGAUUCAAAUUCAUGUUGUUCAAGGGUCAACUGUACUAGGAGUUUUUCUGCCACUAUACAAAUGACACUGAUAUAUUAAUAUGUAGAAAACUUAGAUAAUACAGAAAAACAUAAAAAGGAAAAUUUGUCACCUAUAAUCUCACUCACAGAAAAAAUUCUUACUAAUAUCUUAGUGUAGUUCAUACACAAUGGAAUCCAUUCUCAACACCGAUUUUUCACAAUCAUUUGUUCACUUACAAGCAUAUUUUCAAGUCAUUAAAAAUGGUUUUUGUAGAUAUCUGGAUGGUUUCCAAUUAUUCUCUAAUAUAAAUAUUAAUUCAAUGAACACACUUAUACAGAAAUCACUGUCCAUAUUUCUGACAAUUUUUUUUGGUCUGACCAAUGUACAUCCCUGCCAGCAGGGACUGACAGUAUCUGUCUCAUCCUAAGCUCGCAAACACUGAGAAUGUGCUAUACAUAAUUAGCUGCUACCCAAAUAUAAUACAGUUUCUGUUUACUCAAUAAAGAGAAAAAAAGGGAGUUUUAAAGGAAAACUCAAAAUGAAAUAAACAUAAGUAGGGAUCUCCCUAAGAAGACAAAUUAUACAUCCCUAACAAAUACCAGGCAGUUGAUAGCAAUAUUGAAAACCCUCUAACAGGACACAGUAUAAUAUUAGGUUCUAGAAAUCUCAGAAGUAAAAACAAAUCAAAACAUUCUUCUCAUAGAUGUAUUUCAUUAGUUGGAACUGAUGAAAUGAAUCAAGAAUCACUCUCACCAUUGGAGAAAAAAACUGACAUCGAAAACACUGUUCAUAAAUUAAGAUGCAUAAAAAUCAAUGUUUUUAUGUCUGAAUUAUUUCAAAUUUUUGUCAGCAAACAGUAUUAAAUAUGGAUAUAUACUUUGGUUUCCCAAAUAUAACAGAAAAUUCUAUAAAUUCUUAUCAAGGUAAACAAAUAACCAAAAAUGGCAUUUAUUCAACAAAUACUUACUGAACAACUUUGUUUUGGGUACUUUUAUAUAUAAGAGACUCAAAGUUGUCAGAAAGAGUUCUUUCUUCAAAAAUCCUGCCUUCAGUACCUUCACAAUGUGGCCCUCUUAUAUCACAGAACAUUUGCCCUGCCUACCUGUUGAAAUAUCACAUGUCUCAGACUGUGGCUAGAAAAAGGAAAACAUUUCAAGACAAUGAAUAAUCAACUUAAAUAUCAAAAUUUCUUGGGAGGAGGAAAAGAGGCAAUACAAUCCAACGGGAUAGAUUCCAUUAGCAUGGCCUCUUACCAGCACACAGGAAUGUUUACCCAAGUACCUAUAGUCAAGAGGAAUUCGAGUAGCUAAGAUUACAGGUGCAUACCACCAUGCCCGGCUAAUUUUUGUAUUUUUAGUAGAGAUGGGGUUUCACUAUGUUGACCAGGCUAGUCUUGAACUCCUGACCUCAGGUGAUCCACCCACCUUGGCCUCCCAAAGUGCUGGAAUUACAGGGGUGAGCCACCGUGCCCAGCCUUAUUUUCUUGACUCAUAGGAAUAAAUAUGUCUAGUAGGCCCUCGAUAAAUACUUACUGAAUUAAGAUUACAGCAAGUUAGAGAAACUUGAUGUCUUAUUUGUUAAAGGGCCAAGUAGAAUAAAGACUUUAAAAUAAGAAACUUACAUACCAUUUUUCCCCCUACCCUUCCCCUCACAUAAAUUUGGUCAACAUACUUCUUAGCCUGGCAGAGCGGUUCAUGCCUGUAAUCCCAGCACUUUGGGAAACUGAGGCAGGAGGACUGCUUGAAGCCAGGAGUUUGAGACCAGCCCAGCCAACAUAGCAAGACCUCAUCUCUGCAAAAAAAAAAAAAAAAAAUCAAAAAAUUAGCCAGCUGUGAUGGCACAUGCCUACCGUCCCAGCUACUUGAGAGGCUGAGGCAGGAGGAUGGCUCAAGCCCAGGAGUUGGAGGCUGCAGUGGGCUAUCAGGCCAUUGUACUCCAACCUAAAAGACCAAGUGAGACACUUUCAAAGAACAAAAAACAAAAACACAUACUUCUCGAAUUUCUUUUAUUUGUCUAUUUUCAGAUCAGAUUAUUUUUAGUUGUUGAGAAAAGGUCUAAAAAGCUAGGAAAUGAAAAGUCUUAGUAUUAAAUUAUUAUAUUCUGACAUUAUGUCUCCAGGUUAGCUCCACGCAGAGGCAGCUGACAAACACAGCUUCAGCAAAAGUCAUGAUCCAUUUAUGGUUCACUGUCAACAAAUAGUGACCGGGGACAUGAAACAGCAUGAUCAGGGAAGAAAUUCAGAGUGGAUGAAACAAAGGGUGUGUUUAAGAGCAGUGAGGAAAAGAUGUGGCCUAGCAGUAGGAUAUUGGGGGCCCAAAAAUAAAAGCCCAUGUCAGGUUAAAGCAUUUAGAUUUUUAUCUAAAGAUUGUCAGGGUAUCAGGUUGUCAAGCAAAGUUAAAUUUGCAUUUAGCAACUGGAUAGAAGAUAGAUAAGAAUUGGGAAGACUGGAAGCAAGGAGACCACUUGGGCCGUUGCAGUUAUUCAGAUGAAAAAAAAUGGUUUUGACCACAGUGGUGGCAGUAGAGAUGCAAAGGGCUGUCACAUACUACAACAUAAGUGAAUUUUGAGGACAUUAUGCUAAAUGAAAUCACAAAACGACACAUACUGUAUGAUUCUACUUAUAUAAGAUAUCUAAAGUAGUCAAAUACAUAGAAACAAAGUAGAAUGGUGAUUACCAGGAACUGGAACGAGGGGAAAUGGGAGUUGUUUUAAUGGGUACAGAAUUUCAGUUUUGCAAGGUGAAAAAGAUCUGGAGAUCUGUUGCACAACAAAGUGAAUAUAUACUACUGAACUGUAUAUUUUAAAAGGGUUAAGAUGGUAAAUUUCUUACAGUCUUAAUCCACAACUUUUUUAAAAAGAUGCAAACUGGAGUGCUUUUGUGUGUGUGUUUUACAUUUUGCUCUAUUCAACCUCUGAAAAACAUCUACUGCUAUUUUCCUGAGCUGUAAAAUGAGUUAUCACCAAAUGGUAUCUGAUUUGCAAGGCACCAUAAGGUUUCACACGACCCCAAAUAUCUUACUGUAUUACUUUGUCAUGGUACUUAAUAUUUCCUCCAAAGACAUUUAUUCUUUUUUAAAAAGGAACACGCUUAAAAUAUUAACUGAAAAAUAACUCAAAUAUAAGAAGUAUUAUAGAAUAAAAAGUGGAACCUCAUCAACCUUCUCACAACCCUACUCCUGGCCUAAAAGUAUUAUUAAUUAGAUCAACUAAGUUUACCUAAUGUAAAUACACAGGAAAAUAUAAAUAUAAAGGAAAAAGUCAUUCUUUAAGGCCACUCUUAAGUGACUAACACAAAGUCAUUAACUAGAGAUGGUAUUUUAACACAAGUACUUGAGUCCUAUGUUUUACCUCAAACUUUUAAACCCAGUUGCUGUCUAGCUUUUUCUUAAAAGAAACUUUUUUAUUCAAGUGUAAAAAUACAGUAAAGUGCACACAUCUCAAACAGUUCAACGAACUUUUACAAAGUGAACAUACCUAGGAAACCAACAUCUAAAUCAAGAUGUAAAACAUUACUAACACCUCAGAACCUUGUGCCCUCCAGCUAUUUUAUCGUCUCAAUAAAGGUAACCACUAUUCUGAUCUCUAUCAUCUAGUUUUGUCUAUUUUUGAACUUAUAUAAAGAGAAUUCCAUACUAUGGAAUAUUUUGUGCCUGACUUCGUUUCCUCAACAUCCUGUCUGGGAGACGCAACCAUGCUGCGGCAUGUUGUGAUGGUGUGCCCUUAUUACUACUGUGCAGUAUUCCGUUAUAUGUAUUCUCCCACACUUAUUUGUCCAUUCUACUAUUGAUGGAUAUUUAGUUGUUUCUAGUUUGGGACUAUUACAGAUAAUGCUAUGAUAUACAUUCUUGUACAUAUCUUUCAGUGCACACAUUAUGCAUUUUUGUUGGGUAUAUGCCUAGAAAUGGAAUUGCUUGGCUGGACACAGUGGCUGACACCUGUAAUCCCAGCACUUUGGGAGGCCGAGGCGGGCGGAUCAUGAGGUCAGGAGUUCUAGACCAGCCUGGCCAACAUAGUGAAAUCCCGUCUCUACUAAAAACACAAAAAUUAGCCGAGUGUGAUGGCACAAGCCUGUAGUCCCAGCAACUCGGGAGGCUGAGGCAGGAGAAUCGCUUGACCCUGGGAGGCAGAGGUUGCAGUGAGCCGAGAUCAUGCCACUGCACUCCAGCCUGGGCGACAGAGCGAGACUCCGUUUCAAAAAAAAAAAAGAAUUGCUUAAGUUCAAGUUUCCCAGAUGCUACUAGAGGUUUCAAAGGUUUGUAUCAAUUUAUAUACCACUUCUGCCAACAGAAUUUGAGUGUUCCAUUUGUUUUCACCAACAAUUUGUAUGUCAGUGUGGUGGGUAUGCAGUGGUAUAUCCUUUUUUAAAAUUUCAUUUCUCUGAUAUCUAGUGAUGCUGAGUACCUUGGGCUAGAUUCUGAUAGAUAUUUGAGGGGCAGACUUAAUGAAUCUUAGUAACCAAUUGGUUGGAGAGAAAGAAGAGGAAAAAUCUAGAAUGACAGAAAAAUAAAAGACAUUUGGGGAAAGGGAGGGAACAGAAAACACAUUCAUUUCUGAAAUGAUUAGGUUGUGUUUGCCCAAGAGUGAGUGACAUGUAAGAUUCAAGAGUUAACUACAACUGAGCCAGGCGCGGUAGCUCAUGCCUGUAAUCUUAGCACUUUGAGAGGCCAAGGCUAGCGGAUUGCUUGAGCCCAGGAGUUUGAGAUCAGCCUCGGCAACAUGGCAAAACUCCAUCUCCAGAAAAAAUACAAAAAGUAGCCAGGCAUGGUGGCAUGUGCCUGUAGUCCCAUCUACUUGGGAGGCUGAUGUGGGAGGAUCACUUGAGCCCAGGAAGUUGAGGUUGUGGUUACAGUGAGCUUUGAUUAUACCACUGCACACCAGCUGAGUGACAAGAAAAAGUUAACCACAACUACUGAAGACUCAGUGAGACAUAUGAAGGUUCUCCCAUAAAACUCCCAUAAUUUAAAAGACAAAAAAACUUCAACACAAUACCGCCAUAUCUCAGGUGGUAAAGAAAAUAAAUUUACAAUCCUAAGGAGGAAAAAUAAACUAAAGUACAAUACCUCAAAACCAGAAUCUCAACCUGGGUACGGUGGCAUGUGCCUGCAGUCCUAGCUACUUGGGAGGCUGAGGCAGAAAUAAAUAUCAUAGAUGCUUAAAAAUGCCCCACUAUGACUUUUAGGAAUGCCUGUGAAGAUAUAAAAAAGAAAUCUAUAGAGUAAUGAAUCCUAGGCAAAUAUAAUUAAAGAAAAAAGUUAAAGCUUUCAUAAAAGACAAGUUCACUAACUGCAUGGUUUCAUGAAGACAUCAGUUAGACAAAAAUCUCCUAUUUUCAGACAAGAAGGUCAUCUCCGACACCUAUCAAAUUUCUCUAUUGUGAGCGCCUAAAGAAGAUAAGCAAGGGCAAUAAUUAAUCAACAAAUAUACGAGGAUUAAGGAUGAGGAACAAGAUUUGGAACUAGGCUCUGUCCUCUGAGAUUCACCUCAUUGUUGGAAUUUCUAGCUAAUUACUAUUUUCCAUCACAUAUUAGGUGGUAAUUAAGAUCUUGGCAUCUGUCUUCAAAUCUCAGCUCUGUCCCUUCUUAGCUAUGUGACCCUCAGCAAACGACUUUUCUCUAGCUUCAGUUUUCUCAUUUCCAAAAUGAGAAUAAUCAUCCACAUAACUACUGUCAACAUUAAAUGAGGUAAUAUAAGUAAACCACUUAGUACAAUGCCUGACCCAUAGUAAGUGCUCCAUAAAUGUUAGCUGAUAUUAUCAUAUUAUCAUCUGUAAAAUGGAGACCAAUUCACACACCCUUAAGAUUGAAAAGAAGUAAAAUGACACAUACAAUGCCUAGGUACACAGGAGGCACUCAAAUGGUAGAUGUUACCCCUUACACUCUUUGGGAACUCCAUAUCAUUCAGUAUCAAACUGAGUAUGAAAUGGUACAGUGCAGCAAUUAACGCUAUGAAGCUGGAUUUCCUGAGUUCAAAUCCUGGCUCUGCCACUUAAUACCUGUGUGAUCUUGGGCAAUUUAUUUCCCUUACUGUGUCUUUCUAUUUUCAUCUGUAAAAUGGGAAAAAUAAUAAGUAUCUAUCUUACUGGGUUGUUAUGGGGAUAAGACAAGCCCUCUUUUAAGUGCUUUACAUAUAAAGUCCUAAAAAUAAAACCUGGAACAUAAGUGCUAUAUAAAUAUUAACUAUUAUUAUCUUAAUAACAGAGGUACACAUGCUUUGAGGCUGCUGCACAUCAAAGAAAUGAAUUUGGACAUAAGCAACUUAAUAUUUUUCUUGUAUUUAAGAGAGGCCCAAUGGAAAUAUUCAUAUACCCAUCUUCAAAAAUGGGAGGAAAAAAGGCUGAAGGAAUAGCAAAUUACAACACAGGAACUAUAUAACUACUAAGUAAAUGUGACCUCAUCCAUCCAGAAACAGGUAUGAAGGAAAUGUAUUUUCUAGCUCCGCCUUAACCAUGUAAUCACUCAGAUAAAGGAGUCCUACAUUCCAGAGAGAUAGAGGAAAAUGAUUUUUCUUGCUCUUACCUUACAACAAACUGAUAACCAACACAGCUAACCUUUGUGCGUUCUCACAUAAUUUUUAAGUGAAGAAAACAUCUCUUAGGACAAAAUAAUCAAUUCUGGAAGCUUUCUUAGAAAUGCCUUCCUGCCUUAUACUAGUCUUUUCUUCCCAUACUCCACAAACUUCAUCCCUGGGCAAGUCAGAAGAGGUAUCUAAAGACGCAAAAAUGCAAGCAAGUAAACAUUCUUUAGAACUGAAAGGAAAUCCUAUGCUUGUUCUUACUUAGAAAGUUAUGGAGUUAAUCCUGUGGACUGGCUUAUGUUGCUGACUUACAAAGCAAACAAAAUACUAAAUUGUAUAAGCAACAAAUAAAAUCAGUGAAUUGUAAUUUAUCUGUCUAAGAGUCUGUGCCUCCUACCAGACUGUAACUUCUCGAAAAAAUACUUUAUUCAUCACCAGCAUCUAGCACAUUGCCUGGCACACACAGAAGGUGUUCAAUAAGUGUUGACUGAAUACAGUCAGAGAGCACCUCCUCCUUGUACAAGGUACUGUUAGGUGGCAGACAGCCAAUAAUGGUUCACUUAGGUUGAUGUCAAAGAUUUCUGUUUGAAAUUUAAAUAAAGCCAGGUCUGGCUAAAGAGCUGCAGCUGUAGUUGUACCUGCUCUCAACCCAGAUUUAUUCCCAAUAGCAAGGCUACCCUCUUAGGCAAGGUGUGAAUUGCCCCUCUGUGUCACAAGUUAGAAGAAUUCACCCAGGAGAAUAAGUUCUUAGGAAUCAGUGGGGGAAUAAUGCUCAGAAGCAUGUGACAGGCAAAACAGCACCAUUCCCUAGGAAAACGGCAAAUUUAUCAAACAAUAACUCUUUACUUCUCCUACCCCAAUAAGAUAAAUAUAUGUGAUUAUAAUUUGAUCCAUACAGAAAAAAAUAUUGAGCUGCAAACUCUGGCAAACAGACAGUGCUGAAAUUAAACAUUAUGAGCUUUGGCAGCUGCACUAUGUACUCUCAGAUUCUUACAUCAUUACUCUGGUAAGGGCCCCGUACCAAGCUGGCAUAGUUCUGAUGUGGUCUGGAGGGAGACUUUCUUGCCUUUUAUUUAAAAAAAAAAAUGACCUACAUAUAGCCUCUUUUCAUGCCACAGGGAAAUAAAUAUUUUCCUUUCCUCCAGAUUUUGUUUUAAAUGACAAAGCCAUACUGCCAAGUUAUUAAGAAAGUGUUAGAAAUUAUUAUGAGAUUUUUAAAGGCCACUUAGUACAAGCUCUAAAAAGACUUCUAAAACAGUAGACUUCAAAAACAGGAUCUCUCCUAAAGUAGUGAUAAUCCAUUUGUGGCAAUAAAGAAUCAGUUUAUAGAGUGAUGAUUACUUUCUUGUUUAUAUUCUGACAUUGGAAGUUUAAGUAUCCAGAUCCUCAGUAACCUCAAAUGCAAAAUGAAAUAGUAAUGUCACCGUUUGGGACAGUUCUUCUCACAAUAUCAGAUAUAUGGCAAGUCCUCAGUAAGUACUAGACAAACUUAUGAACGAUAGAACCUUUAAAAUUCGUGACUAGAGCAAUCAUAUACUUAACAGAGCUAAGUGGUUACCUUUACUUCACUCAUAUUCAAGACUGAAAAGAAUUUACACAUAAGCUAGUUUCAAGAUCAAAACUGCGUUUGUCCCUUUCAACAACUGAUACCACACAAACAAGACUUCAUUCUCUAUUUCCCUCCAGUGGCAUCCAAGAAAAACAUAAAAAUUCCAAAUCUCAAAAAUAACAGGUUAAAGAAGAAAAAAAAAGGCCUUAGUGCUCAUAAACUAGAUAUAUAAUUUGACAUGUUUAGAGUGAUAGGAUUAUGUUUCCUAUCAUGAAAUAUUUCAAAUUUUCAUAUAUGGUCAAAAUAGUAUAGUAACUACCAAGCUUUACUUCCAAAUUAUUAUUACUAUUUCCUUUCUUCUGGAGACAGAGUCUCACUUUGUCACGCAGGUUGGAGUGUAGUGGCUUGAUCUCAGCUCACUGCAGCCUCAACCUCUCAUGUUCAAGUGAUCCUCCUGCCUCAGCCCCACAAGUAGCUGGGACUACAGGUGGGCACCACCAUACUAGCUAAUUUUUGUAUUUUUUUGUAGAGACGGGGUUUCAUCAUGUUGCCCAGGCUAGUCUCAAACUCCUGAGCUCAAGCCAUCUAUCUGCUUGCUUCAGCCUCCCAAAGUGCUAGGAUUACAAGCAUGAGCCACUAUGCCCAGCCUUAUUUUACCUUUUGAGAUAUAAUUUACAUAUGGUAAGGUAAACAAAUCUUAAGUCUGAUAAAGUUUUCUCAUAUGUAUUAUAUAUGUUAACUACUAUCCAGAUCAAAAUAUGAGCACACAUUUAUUGCAGCCCACAGGAUUCCCUCGUGACCUUUCUCUCCAAAACAUACUUAUCAUUCUAAUCUCAGAUAGUAUUCCUUUCACCACUAAUAAUCAAAUCCAGCCUUUACUUUCCUGUUUUCUUUAUAGUUUGCCAAUGUCUAUUUCAAUCAUAAGUAUUUUGGCUACAGUGACCCCAUGAAACAGAGAAAGUCUAUGUAACAUGCAAAAGACCUUACAAUUUAGAAUGCAUACAAGCUUCCCAACAUUUUUAAAGGGACAGAAGACUCAGAAUGCUACCGUAAAAGAGAACAAAGGGAAACAUGGAAUUCAUUUUGACUUAAAUCCUAAAGAAAAUACACUAGACUGUUUCUUGAAAAAAGCCUGUAAUGAGUAUAGAUUUCUAAAUCAGUUUUGAGAGAAUAUUUGGCUGAAUAUUUAAACCUAAAUGUUUUUAUUGGCUGUCAGUAGGUAUCUGAGUAAAUCCCAUUCCAAUUGCAUUUUCCUUAAAGUUCACAACCAUCUUAAGGCCAUGCUCCCAUGCCUAGAGGCUGACAACCUUCCUAAAAGAGCUAGAUUCCUACACGGUCUUAGCCCCAGUAUAUACAUACAAAUUAAAAGAGAACCCUAAUCACCACUUUCUCUUGGAGUAACGUCCUAAGUCUGAAUAAUGUACAUAUCAUCACCCUUCGUUAACUGUAGAACUUAGUAUUUCAAUCAAAUGACACAACCUAGCUGAUGUGACAUAUUUAGCAAUGUGCACCACUGUUGAUAUGCUCAUGCAAACCAAGCACUUCUGGGGACAACUGGAGAACAAUGGAGUGAGACAGAAGAUGUAAGUGUAAUAACAAAUGCAACAACCACCACCUUAUCAGAAAGGUUGUUGGAAGCAUUUACUAAGAUAAUACAAAGAAAGGCUGUUACUGUUCUUACCUCACCUCCUCAGACUUACCUGGACUAAGUUAUGACUUGAGAGAAAUGCUCCCCCUCCCCUCACUUCCAAAUCCUGGAGCAGCACAAAUAAGGAUCUGCUUCUAACAGUCAAACUCUCUCUAGUUCAUUUAUAUAACUGAAUAUCCCUGGACGAGUUACAAAGGGGAUAUUUGGAUAAAUUCUUUUAAUCAGUUUGCUUUCAUAUAGCCUAGUUAAGACCUCACUCAGGAAAUAAAAUUUUAAGAAAGUAGUAAGAAAGCCCCAAAAGGGAGCGACCCAGUCCUAAUAACUUUCUAGAAGCAAAAAAGUUAUGCUGAGGGCAUUCUAGGAAGAAAAGCAGCUGGCCCCGGUGGUUCGUGCCUAUAAUCCCAGCUACUCAGGAGGCUGAGGUAGGAGGUUUGCUUGGAAACUAGCCUAAGCAACACAGCAAGACCCCUGUCUCUAAAAAUAAAAGAAAAGGCCCCCAUUUUGCAUGUGGCUUAUAAAGAACUUACAAUUCUCUGUCCUCUAUCCUCACCUCAAGUUCCCAUUCAAGAUACUAGCUAGGUAUUUAUAGUUAGUUCCUUAUAUAUACAUGUUACUCUUGAAGUUAAUCUCACAGAGACUGUACAAAAAUAGAGCAAUUUCCAUAACUGGUUGCUUCUGAUCAGUGUUCAUUUUGGAGACAUCGAUAAUCACCUGCCAAUUACUGGCUAUAUUGUGACUGACAUCUUAUGGAUGCUUUGUUCUCCAAACUGAUUUGUUAAGCUGUAAACUGACUACUUCCUAUGUUAAAACGACUAGCAAGCUAGACCUGUACAACUUUUUCUAUCUGCCUUAAUCUAAAAACUAAAUGUAGUAUCAACUCAACUCAGCAGAUCCGCACCUGCCCCCUGAUUAUCUUGUCAUAAAACCAUCCGUAGGGAGCCAAAGAGGGUACUAUUUAACAAUGACACAAUUGCUUGCAGUAUAACAUUAGCAGUAUAAACAAAAGCAUUUUUCAUUGCUUUUCAAAUCUUAAGAGUUUGAAAAAAGGCUGGGCACAGUGGCUGAUGCCUGUAAUUCCAGCACUUUGAGAGGCCAAGGCAGUGGAUCACUUGAGGUCAGGAGUUCGAGACCAGCCUGGCCAACAUGGUAAAACCCCAUCUCUACUAAAAAUACAAAAAAAAAAAAUUAGCCGGUCAUGGUGGCGAAUGCCUUUAAUCUCAGCUUCAUGGGUGGCUAAGGUAGGAGGAUAGCUUGAACCAGGGAGGUGGUGGUUGCAGUGAACCAAGCUCAUACCACUGCACUCCAGCCUGGACAACGGAGAGAGGUUCCAUCUCAAAGAGAAAAAAAAAAAAAAAGUAAGAGUUUAAAAAAAGACCUAACACCCACCAAAAUUAUGGAUGCCUAUUGCAACUUCCAAAACAGACAAGAUUAUAGGGUGAUUAUUUAUAUCUCAAAAGGAAAUUAUGAGUUAUACAUUAUAUGUAAUUAUACAUACAGUCAAAUGUGUUUAUGUGUCUGUGUGUAUGUAUGUGUGUGUGUGUGUGUGUGUGUGUGUGUGUUUAUGUAUGUAUAUGUAAAUCGUGAUGUGUGACAUUGAAAGAAUGUUCCAAAAAAGGAGCUAUUUCUUACAAAUAGCUACUAAAUGCUGAACCCUGCACCAGGCACUAUUAACCUCUGCAUCUGGACACUGUUUGGCAUGCUGUAUAACUGCUCAUUUUCCCAAAACCAUAAAAAAGCAAAUGCCAUGUGAUUUACUUCUUAUUCCCCCACAACCAGAAUAAAACCCACAUAGUAACAAUAUUGUCCAAUCAAUAUCUAUUAAAUAAACUGAACUGACUUAAUUAUAAAAAGAUAACCUUGAGCAGAGGGAUCAGUGAGACUCAGAAAAUACAUAGUGUUUACAGUAUGAACACACACAAAAAAAACGGAGUGUACAAAGUACAGAGGAAAAAUGAAGUCGCUAAAUAUUUAGGCAAUAAGCAUUGAUAGAUCAACCUUUAUUGAGCUCCACUGUACAAACGAGCCCUUAAAUACUAUGGUAAAGCUCCAGGGGGAUGCCAAAAUAAUACACGGUUUGUCUCCUCUGCUAUAGCCCACUGCAGCCAUAAAUGUUAGCUCUGAAGGGACUACGAGAGUUUCCCACCAUUUGCCUAGAGUUUCCUAACAUAUGAACUCCAAAGCAGUGGUUCUCAAAGUAUGGCCCACAUAUGUUUCCCAGACUCUUCCUGGGAGUCUGAAAAGUCAAAACUAUUUCUAUACUAACUCUAAGACAUUAUUUGCCUUUUUCACUAUGUUGACAUUUGUAAUGAUGGUACAAAGUCAAUGCUGGGUUAAACUGCUGCCCUUGGCAGUAAUUUAGUAGUGUCACCAAAAUGUACCAGUAGUCACUGUAUUUGUCACUGUCACACACUACAGAAAAAAGGAGGGAAAGCCAUUUUAACUUAAUAAUGUCCUUGAUGAAGCAGUAAGAUUUAGUGAUUUUAUUCAAUCUUGACCCUGAGCAAACAUCUUUUAAAAUAUUCUGUGUGACAAAACAGUAGGUACACAUAAAGCACUUCUGCACAGUGGCUGCUUCAAGAAGCAGCACUGGAGUUAUUGUUACGUUGUAAGCUGAACUAGCCCAUUUUUUUCAUUGACUAUCAUUUUACUUACUAAACAAAUUGUGGUUAUUCACACUUGGGUAUCUGAUGGAUAUUUUCUUGAAAAUGAACAAAGUGAGUAUGUCACUUCAAGGAAAACAAGUGACAGUAUUUGUUGCCAAUGAUAACAUUUGAGCUUUUUUUUUUUUUUUUUUUUUGAGAUGGAGUCUCACUCUGUCACCCAGGCUGGAGUGCAAUGGUAUGGUCUCGGCUCACUGCAACCUCCACCUUCCGGGUUCAGGCGAUUCUCCUGCUUCAGCCUCCUGAGUAGCUGGGACUACAGGUGCAUGCCACCACACCUAGCUAAUUUUUGUAUUUUUAGUAGAGAUAGGUUUUCGUUAUGUUGGUCAGGCUGGUCUUGAACUACUGACCUCGUGAUCUGCCCACCUCGGUCUCCCAAAGUGCUGGGAUUACAGGCGUGAGCCACCACACUCAGCCCAACAUUUGAGCUUUUAAGCCAAAAUUAGAAUUUUGGGAUAUUUUUAUCUGUCACUGUGAGCUUCACAGGUUCCAAAUAUUUAAAGAUGUAUCUGAUGAGUUCAAUGAUAUUUACAAACUUAAUUUUUUGAUAUUAUGAAAUGUGUCAAUAUUUAGAAAAUCCGCAUAACUCAGUGAACAAGUAUUUUCCAAAUGACCAAUGUAUGAUGUCACAAAAUCAUGCUUGGGUAAAAGAUCCAUGAAAAAUGCAAGAUAGACAAAUGAAUUUUAAUAAAAUCGAGUAUGAAAAGUUCAUUGAUACAGUUUCUGAUUCCAUACCGCAACUAACCUUUGUUUUUUUGUUUUGUUUUGUUUUGUUUUUUGUUUUGUUUUGAGAGGGAGUUUUGCUCUUGUUGCCCAGGCUGGAGUGCAAUGACAUGAUCUUGGCUCACUGCAACCUCCACCUCCUUGGUUCAAGCGAUUCUCCUGCCUCAGCCUCCCGAGUAGCUGGGACUACAGGCGCCCACCACCAUGCCCAGCUAAUUUUUUCUUUUUGUAUUUUUAGUAGAGACAGGGUUUCACCAUGUCGGCCAGGCUGGUCUCGAACUCCUGACCUCAGAUGAUCCACCCACCUCGGCCUCCCAGAGUGCUGGGAAUACAGGCAUCAGCCAUCGCGCCUGGCCGCAACUAACCUUAAAACUACCAAGUAUUAAGAUCUAGUACGGUAUCAAAAGAAGAAUAUGCAAAAUUGUCUGAACUGACUAUUAAAAAAUCUUUUUUUAUAUAUCUACGUAAAACCAGAUUUUCUUCAUAUACUUUAACCCAAACAGUAUAUUGUAACAGACAUAUGCAGAUAUGAGAAUUCAGCUAUCCUUUAUGAAGUCAGACAUUAAAGAGAUCUGCAAAAAUGUAAAACAAUGUCAUUCUUCUCACCAAUUUUUAAAAAAAUAGCUAUUUUUACAGCUUUAUUUUAAAAUGUUACUUAUGUUAAUAUAUAAUGGUUUAUCAUUUUUAUUUAAUCUUUAAAUGAAUUAAAAUACUUUUAAGUUUCUCUGUUUAAUUUCUAGAAAGUAGCUAUAGCCCAUAUAAAUAAAAGCUCUUGGGAAUCUCAAUGAUUUUUAUGAAUGUAAGGGGGUCACUGGGACCAGAAAGUUUGAAAAACAUUGCUCUAUGGACAAUAAUUCUUUCUUUGUUUGGCAAGAGAUCUUAGGGGUCCUGAUUCUGUUUGGUUUGGGCUGGUAUAAUUUUUUAUGAAAAAGUAUGGAAAUUGAAGUAACAUAUAGCACAGUCAAGACUUGAAUCCAAGGACUGGCACAGUGGCUCAUGCCUGUAAUCCCAGCAUUCUGGGAAGCUAAGGUGGGAGGAUCGCUUGAGUCCAGGAGCUCAAGACCAGCCUAGGCAACACAAUGAGACCCUAUCUCUGCAAAAAAUUUAAAAAUUAGACAUGGUGGUGCAUACUUGCGAUCCCAGUAACUUGGGAAGCUGAGGUGGGAGGAUCACUUGAGCUCAGGAGGUUGAGGCUGCAGUGAGCUGGGAUCACGCCACUACACUCCAGCCUGGGGCAUAGAGUGAGACCCUCCAAGACAGAAAAGAAAAGAAAGGAAGGGAAAGGGAAAGGGAAAAGGAAAAGGAAAAGGAAAAGGAAAAGGAAAAGACAAGACAAAACAAGACUUGAAUUUGGAUCUCCUGACUUCAAUUUUAUGUUCUUUCUACACCACAAUUCCUCUGCUUACUAAGAUGAUAAUUUAGAAACCCCUCGUUCCAUUCUUUACAGCAAGCUGGAAGUUUGGUCAAGUAAUUACAAUAAUAGUAACAAAUUUGAAUAUUAUAUGCCAGGUGUUUUUCAUUCCUGCUCUCACUUAAUUCUCACCACUCUGAUAUAAAUACAAUUGCUGCCGGGUGUGGUGGCUCAUGCCUGUAAUCCCAGCACUUUGGGAGGCCAAGGCAGGUGGAUCACCUGAGGUCAGGAGUUCAAGACCAGCCUGGUCAACAUGGUGAAAUCCCAUCUCUACUAAAGAUACAAAAAUUAUCUGGGCAUGGUGGCACCACCUGUAAUCCCAACUACUCAGGAGGCUGAGGCAGGAGAAUCACUUGAACCCAGGAGGUGGAGGUUGCAGUGAGCCAAGAUCGCACCAUUGCACUCCAGCUUGGGCAACAAGAGUGAAACUCCAUCUCAAAAAUAAAAAAAUAUAAAUAAAUACAAUUACUCACUAACCUUCAUUUUACAGAUGAAAACCUGAGGUUAAACCACUUGCCAAAAGUCACACGGCUACUAAAUGGCAGAACCAGGAUUUGAAAACAAUACUUCUAAUAGAUGUAUUAGCAAAAAAGUCUCACAACUGCCAAUCAAAACAUUUGUGUGGAUACUAGCAAAGUGGCAUUUUUGGAAACAGAGCACCUAUGACUCUUGCCCAGUGUGCCUUCAAAUAUAGACAGAACAAAACACUAGCCUCGAGUAUCGCCAUACAAAUUUAGUUCUACACAGACAACAGCAAGAAAACAAGCAAAUAGGGAGAUGUGCUAGGUAUGACCAAGCUGCCUCUCUUCCUUACCCAUCCAGCAUUUCUACCAUCACCCACUAAAAAGGAGUGACAGAAGUCAAGGAUGAAGGAUGCAUCACCAACAGCCGGGACAGUGAAAACUCUUGGCAGGUGUUCUCUAAGCUCUAACUCCCUGCCUAUGCAAACUAAACCCCAAGCCAAGUCCUCUUGGCUUUAUCACACUGAGUGUUCACAAGAGCCAUCAUUAAUGUCCAAGCUCCACUUUUUCCAGGCUGAUGACAUGUGUCAGCCCUUGAUUCCUGGUGCCACUCUUGCCUGUCAACUCAGGAAAGGCUUCUGUAAUGCCUUUGGCUUUUCUGAAAUACCUUCAAGACACAAGGCAGCAGCUGACACCAACUCUCUCCUGAGGAUGGACACUUGGCCAGGAGCCCAAGCUGAAGUGGAUUAGGAGGUUCUUGAUCUUUAUUAAAAUCAUUCCUACCUUCUUACUGGCAAUUAAAAUAAAUUCCUCCCCAGAGAGCAGCCAGGGGUUCCUCGAGCCUCUUCCAUCCAGUGGUAGUCAUCUUUGAUUAAAGAAAAGCGGUAAAGUGUAGCAGCAGCUGAUAAAUGUCAGACCCUGGAGGACCAUCACAGAGUUUAGAUCACUUUACAGCUAUUUCUCAUUUCAUACCAUGGACGGAUUUUAACCCAACACCACUCAGUACUGCUUACUUAGUUAAAUGCUUCAGGAAAGCCUCCCAAAUCCAAGUCAAUGGUCCAUUUACAAUAGUUUUGGGUGCAUCCCUGAGGCUAAGAUGUUUGACUCAUCAGGCAGAUUUUGACUUGAAGGCUAUAUCAUCUAUCUUGCAGAUGGCCAAUAGGAAACUUCUGCAAAAAAAAAAAAAUUCUUUUUCAUGAUGAAGAGACAGAGUGGUAUAAUUAUGAUAAACACACAUACAUGUAGUCAAAGAUUUCAAUUCUGACCCUGCUGUGUGACUUAGAAUCUUCAUUUCCCUUCUAAAUCUGUUUCUUCAUCUGUUAAAUUAAGAUAUUUAGCCUAAAUAAGAGAUUCCCAAAUGUCCACUUUUUAAAUUACUGCACCAGAAUAAUAUGAACGCUUUUGAAAAAUACAGAAUUUACUCCUAGAAAAGCUGAUUUACUAAGUCUGGGAUGAUGCCUAGGAAUCUGCACUUUUAGCAGGCUACAUUUCCCAUCGCUACCACUUUUUCUGGGAGGAGUUGGGGGAGACAGGGUCUCACUCCGUCGCCCAGGCUGGAGUGCAGUUGCACAAGCACGGCUCACUGCAGCCUUGACCAAGUCUUGGGCUCAAGCCAAUAUUGCCACCUCAGCCUCCUAUGUAGCUAGAACUACUGGCAGACAUCACAAUGCCGGGCUAAUUUUUUCAAUUUUUAGUAGAGAUGGGGUCUCCUUAUGUUGCCCUGGCUGGUCUCAAACUCCUGGGCCCAAGUGAUCCUCUUGCUGUGGACUCCCAAAGUACUGAGAUUACAGGUGUAAGCCACUGUGCCCAGCCUACACUUUUAAUUCUGAUGCAAAGCAGGUUUGGAAACCAUGAGACUAAAUGACCUCUAACACUCCUGAUAGUCUGAAAGUUACAAAAUUGUAGGUUGAAACUUAUUUUCUAUUUAUUCAACCCAGAAUUAUUUCCCCAUUCAUGAUUAGCAUUCCCACUCAAACAUCGGCAUUGUCAAUUUCAGGUUAGCAAUGGAGAGAUAGGUCCAAAAACAAUAAACCAAGUAUCAAUAGUUUGCCCAAACUAGUACAGUAUUAUUUCAUUUAUGAAAGUAUGAGGUAGAUCUAAGCAUAGCUUUUCUACAGAACACACAUUUUUAAAUAAAAGUUUUAAGACAUCAUAUUUUGGAAAAACUCAACUAUCUGCUGGAAAUAACCAAGAAAGGCAACAUUAAAAAGCAUUUUCCCUGUUAUGAAUAACUCAAAAUAGUUAUGAAAUGAAUAUGUCUACUUACCAAUAACUUACAAAGCCUUAACACAAAUCUAUACUCUACCUGAGGCAAUAAUAAACUUUCUAAGAACAGAGCUCAAGUUUUUAAAGUAUAAAUUACUAUAAGACUAAAAUUAACCCAAUAAACAAAAAUAAGUCAGAGGAAGAAAUAGUCUUAUAUCACUGAUACAUCAUCUGCGCUUCAUAAUUGUAAAAAAGGAAAGAUUGAGUUCUUUGGUAACUGUUCUUGUUUAUUUCAUUAACUGGUUGUUGCAAAACACACGCCUAUUGGCUUUAAAGAACUUUUAAAAUCUCGGCCAACACUUUUCACACACUACAAUACAAACCAAGAUUCUCUCCAGUUCAUUCUUCAAUUUCCAUGAAUAUCACCUACUGCAUGAUAUUGGUUCCUAUUGCUUUUACAGCUUUAUAUUCCCAACUUAUUAUUUCAGCUUAACUUGAACAAUAAUCGCUGGUAGAGUAACUCAGAAGAGUUUUUCACUGAUUACAAAUAUCCUGAUUUACCAUGAAAAAAAACGAGUCCUGCUUCCUGUGGGUUUGCAAAAUAAUCUAAAAUAGUAAUACCUCAAACACGUGAAGUCACUGCAACAAGGGGAUGGAGAAAUCAUGUGCUUCUUUAAAAGUCUUUUUUUUUUUUUUUUUGUGACAGGGUCACUCUGUGUUCCCCAGGCUGGAGUGCAGUGGCACAAACACGGCUGACUGCAGCCUCAACCUCCUGGGUUCAACUGAUCCUCCUGCCUCAGCCUCCUGAGUAGCUGGAGCCACAGGCACACACCGCCACGCUCAGCUAAUUUUUUAUUUUUUGUAGAGAUGGGGUUCUUGCCAUGUUGCCCAGGCUGGUCUUGAAAUCCUGGGCUCAAGCAAUACCUCCCUCCUCGGCCACCUAAAGUGCUGGGAUUACAGGCAUGAGCCACUGUGCCAGGCCAAAAUAUUUUGAAAGGCUUUGAAGUAUGUGUCCCAUUUGAAGAGAAAUACUGCCCUAGCACUAGGCCAAUUUGCUAUCUCAGUUACUUGGCCUGUCCACAUCCUUUUUUUUUUUUCUUUCCUUUUAAGAGAUCAGGUCAGGUCACACUCUGUCACUCAGGCUAGAGUGAAGUGGCGGCACAAUUAGAGCUCACUGUAGCCUCAAACUCCUGAACUCAAGCAAUCCUCCACCUCAGCCUCCUAAAUAGCUGGGACUACAGGCACAUGCCACCACAGCCAGCUAAUUAAUUAUUUAUUUAUUUAUUUAUUUAUUUAUUGGUAGAGACAAGGUCUUGCUAUGUUGCCCAGGCUGGUCUCAAACUCCUGGCCUCAAGUGAUACCCCUAUCUCAGCUCCCAAAGUGCUGGCAUUAUACAUCAGCCACCAUGCCCCCAACAUCCCAAACAGCUAAAGUAACCUGAUAUAAAGUUGCCAUGUAAAAUUUUAAAAUGUUCCAAGCUACUGAGUUUAAAUUUCUAAUUCUACCUCUCAACUCCUUGGUAAAACCUUAGGCAGACUAAAUAUAAGAAUGACCAUUAUCCCAUAUACAACUUAACCUUUGAGAUUCUUUUUUUCUCCUUCCUAACACUCAAGUAAACACUCUAGAUUCAGCAGGCUCCUUUAUGACCAGUACCUUAAAACAACACAUUAUUUUGGCCUAACUUAAAACCAGAAUUAGUAGUCAAAGUGCUGGGAUCAGAUGCAAACCAAAUGGUUGCUGGGAAAGUGGGGGCAGAUGGGAAACUUGCAAAAUAAGAUAGCUAAAUGCAUUCAAAUAUUUGUAUAACUUCUCAUUUGACAAUUUCUUUUAGAAGAGGAUCUGUUCCAAGACUCCCAGCAGACGCCUGAAACUUCGAAUAGUACACAACUCCAUAUAUAUUAUGUUUCUGCCUAUACAUACAUACCUAUGGCAAAGUUUAAUUUAUAAAUUAGGCACAGUAAGACAGUAACAAUAACUGAUAAUAAAAUGGAACAAUUAAAACAAUAUGGUAUAAGUUGGCUGGGCACAGUGGCUCAUGCCUGGAAUCUCACCACUUUGGGAGGCCUAGGUGGGAGGACUGUUUGAGGCAUGGAGUUUGAGACCAGCCUGGGGAACAUAGUGAGACCCUGUCUGUACAAAAAAAAAUUUCUAAAUCAGCCAGGCAUGGUGGCAUGCACCUGCAGUUCUAGCUACUCAGGAGGCUGAGGCGGGAGGAUUACUUGAGCCCAGGAGUUUCAGGAUACAGUGAGCUGUGACUGCACCACUGCACCUCAGCCUGGGCAACACAGCAAGAGACCCUGUCUUUAAAAAAGAAAAAAAAAAAAGUUAUGUGAAUGUGGUCUCUCUCUCAGAAUAUCUUAUUGUACCGUACUCACCUAUUUUUGAAAGUAACUGAAACCACAGAAAGCGAAAACGCAUAUAAUGAGGGACUACUAUAAUUGUGUAAGCACAGAGUUACCAAUUAAUGGUUGGUAUCUGCAAUUGGUACAGAACUUGGUGAAGUCUAAAUAAUUACUUUUCCUGGAACCACUGCUACUGGGUUAUACAUUAUGCUUCAGGGAAAGGUGAUGGCAAGAGUAUUCACUGCUACUGGCCAAGUAGCCACUCGUAACAAGAUGGAGAUCAAAGCUUCCAAAAAAAGCAACAUCGUAUCAGUGACAAGACUAGAUUGAGAAAUCCUGCUCUAUAGCUAUGGUCAGAAUUUCCUAAUCUGAAGUUCACAGACAAACCCACCAAGGAGGUGAUAAAUGAGUUCCUGGAUUCCAUAAUUGAAACUGCUUUCAAAAUGUGUUUAUGUACAUGUAUUUAGGGAGAGAAUCCAUAGCGGAUUUUUAAAUAUUAUCAUCUAAUUUAAUUAGAUAGGGAGAGUUUUAAAUAAUGUUAUCUAAUUUAAUCCUCACAAUCAAUGAAGAAGGUACUAAUAUUCUCAUUUUAUAGACUCAGGAAACUAAAACGUUAUGGGAAAUGAAAACCUUACCAAAAAAGUGGUAGAGCAUUAAUUCCAAAUAUGUCCUUAAAACACAUAUAUGUACACAUACAAUACAACAGCUAGUCAGAGAUUGUUUUAACUAUAAAAGAACAGGUUUUUUAUUAGCAUAUAUGGCCUGGAAGCCAAAUACUGGGGAAAACAAGCAAUUUUAUUUAUUAACAUAGAAAUAAUAGUUGUAAAUUAUCUUAACAACUUAAAUACCUUUAAAAUAACAUAUAAAUCUCCAUUUUAUAGAUAAGGAAGCAAAGAAAUGGAGAGGUUAAGUAAUUUGUCAAAGAUCACAUAGCUAGUAAAAUUCAAAGUCACGAUUCUGGCUCCAAAAUCUGCUCUUUACUAUGCUGUAAAUACUGCUUCUCCAAACAUUUAAUACAUGAAAUUUUUUAACUAUGGUCAUUUUAAAGGGAAAAAAAGCAAGAAGGCCAAAGAAUCAUCCAAUUUGGAAAAGUUUAUUAUAAUAAGGUAUUUCAUUUAUUCUAUUCUCGCACAUAUGAAACAAAAGCAAUGGGAGACAAGAGAAGCAAUUACAUUUGCAUGCUCUUUCAGAUACAUAACCUUAUUGGAUUUUCAUGGCUGUGUGUGCAGGAAGGGCAAGUGCUAUUUGUCUCACAUUUUAAAGAUGAGUUAACUGACACUCUGAGACAUUAAUCUCACUACUCACCAUUACCUAAACAUUUCUGCCUCUAAGAUUUCCUGUACAUGGUUUUCCAUUGGAAUUAGCCCCCUUUCUCUGUCUAGUAAAAAUUCAACUAACCUUUUAAAGCUCAAACCAGGUUAACCUACUUAGAUAUACCUUUCCUGGCACUUGUAGGCAGAAUUAACCCCUCUUUUCUCUGUUCUCCCUUAAUAUAGUUCACACCAAUCCACCAGGCAUCCUCUUUGUCAUCAGUUAUAUUUACGUGUAGCUCCCUAGUCAGAUAGUGGGCUCCAGGAUGGCAAGGGUUUUAUAUACAGGAAAAACAAUCCCUAGGAUUCUACUGCCGAAUCAGUAAAAGGAUGAAUCAGAAAACUAGCACAGUUUGGCAAAAAGAAACAUGAAUUCACACUGACAUGCUGUUGUUAUCUUCAUAACUUAAGAAUUUAUCCUCACGGCUAGCAGCAUUACCCCCAAACACUUAUAGUGAUGCUUCCUGCAUGGUGCUUGGGAAACACCUAGGCAGACGGCACCUGAGACGAUGACUCCUCUUCUAUUAGCUACUAAUCACUCAAUUUUAGUUAUGUGCUGCUGAAGCAAACAUGCUACUAAUCAUCCAGAUACAUUGUUUUAUUGAGUUUAUGCUUAUUUCUUCCAAGUAUAUCAAGAAGUCCCAGGAAGACUAUGAAAACAUUUACAUCCCCAUGUUGGAGACAUGUGGGUUUCAAUAUUUCAUGGUUUCUCUGGAAUAUUGGAAACCACCAAUAUUUCGUGGUUUCUCUGGAAAAGAAAGGAGGUAUGUGAAAUUAAGGAAUGGCAUGGUGAGUUCUAACAAACUCAAAACCAAUCUAAAUCAAGAGUUAAAUAGUUGGAUUGGCUUGUUAAAUGUCAGCCUAUAAUUUUUUUUUUUAGAGACAGAUUCUCACUCUGUCACCCAGGCUGGAGUGCAGUGGUGGAUCACAACUCACUGUAACCUCAAACUCUUGGGCUUAAGGAAUCCUCCCUCCUCAGCCUCCGAAAGUGCUGGGAUUACAUGUGCCACCCUGCCUGGUCACUCUUAGCUAAUUUAACCCUUAACUUUUUUUAACCCUUAGACUUUAUCCUUGCACCGAGUAUAUAAACCCCUUAGCCAAACUCACUUAAAAAACCCAAAUGUGUGCUCAAACUUGCUUGAUGAUAAAAACUAAAGAACUUAAAGGAAUGAGGAUGAUGAAGGCCAUUAUGCCAUGAUACACAAUUAUUUCAAAUACAGUGGGCAACACCCCAUGUCAUUCCAGAAACCUACCUUUCUGUAGUUUUUCAAGUCUGUGAAAAGCAUUCUUUUUAGAAUGCUAUGAAUUUAAGGAAUAAUAUUUUGUAAGCAUCUAAAGGUUUGGUGAAGUCAAAAUCAGUAUUUUUUUUAAAGUCUAAAUAUUUAUCCAAAUAGUAUAAGGCUUGACAUCGCUUUAUAUUAUUGGACCAAGAGGAAGACUUUUUAAAAUAAACCCAUUAAAAAGUUUUAAACAUAUUACACAGUUACAGUUGCCUGAUUUUUUGUGUGUGUAUACAAUUUACUGUCAUAACACUGAAAACUCAACAAAGCUGGCUAAUGCAGAGUUUUGACAGAGGGUGAAUUAAACUGAUAUAGAAGGUAAACAGUUUACAUUCAAACCUAAAUCUCAGUGGUUGAUAUUUUUUCUUUUAACGUGUACCAUUUGGCUGCUUUAAAAAUGAAUUUGAGACCAGUCAGCCUUUAGUAUUUAAACCUAAAGCAAAUAGUAAUAACUAUCCCCAUUUAGAGAUUAACUUCAAUUCAGCAGGCAGUUCUGUAAGCCCUUUUCCUAUUAAGUAUUCCUAGAUCUGUCCCAUUGUAAAUCACAUAUUCUGAAGAUUCAUAUUAUUAAUUCAUUUUUCAAAUUUUUCAUCACAGACAUUCAACAGAAUCAAAAAUAACCACUAUGUCCUAUAAUGUACUGGUAUCGUUUCAGCCAGAACAAAUGACAUCUGACAUUUUAGUUACACUCUGUGUUCUCAACUAAGAAGAAAUGCAAGCUUUACAUUAGGUGGUGGGUUUUUGGUUUAUUUUUUGCUUUUUCAAUAUGGAAAAUAGCUUGUGGACUAUCACUAACACCUCUGUGGUAACUUAGUAAUGCAGGAUCUCAGCAAAGGAGAUCAUCAAUCAUGGAGGUCGAGGUUUUUCAUCUUCCCCUAUGACCUCACCUAUAGACCUACCUGCUAUUAUUAUAGGCAAACAAGUAGAAGAAAUUUACAUGUUUGACUUUGGCUCUGCAGUGAUGGGUCUACUCCUAGAUAUCAACAGUAAGUUCUGUAGUAGACAACAGAAGCAGUAUGAUGAGUGAGCACUGGAAACAUGAAGUCCAGUAUUCAAAUUCUGGCUUAUAACCUUGGCUCCUGGCAAUGUAACUUUAGGCAAAUCACUUCAAGUUUUUUCAUCAGGAAAAUGUGGGUUGUUGAGAAUUUAAUGAGAUAAAAUAUACAAAUCCUAGUAUAUAGCAGAUCCCCAAUAUAUGUUAAUCUCUUACCCUUGUUAACAAUUAAAAUACUACUGCAAAAUCAGGUAUUUUACAUUUUUAGAAUCACAAAAUAAUACCAUUCAAAGACAUUUUCUCAGACAUUCAUUUGAGUCUGCUUGUACAAAUUACUGCACAGUCUAUCCCACAGUUCAUUAGUUCUCUGCUGCACACAAAUUGAUUUUAUAAUUUAAAUACUCUCGACUUGAAACCCAGAGAGGAAUGUAAGAGCAUCCAUCAGCGGUGGUCUCACUGCUCACUGGUUCUUGGGAUGUGGAUGGGAGAAUGAAGAAGGGCUAUCAGGCCAGCCUUCAGAGGACUCCAAGGAACAUUCAACGCUGUCGGUGAGUUUGGGAUUUGAAAAAACCACUGACCGUUGACUGUACCUUGGGGUCCUUACAGACGACACUACAUUUCCUGAAGCAAAAGAGCAAGCUGUACCUUCACAUGUCACAUGAGUUCACCAGAAAUGGUCCUGCAAUCCCCCAAAUGUGGUCCAGUGAAUUUUAUUCCUACUGCUCACUGUUCCUUGCUUUCUGUUGUGUGUUUUAUUAUUAUUUGUUUGUUUUUACAAAAAAAGUGUUUCAUUUCAACAAGGUAAGGAGCAGUCCAUGAUGAUAUCUAAUGUACCUACAUGUCUCCUAGAUAUGCACCAUUCUGGUGAGAAACAGGACGUAGCAAGUAAAAAUUUAUUAAAAAUACGUAUUUUGUUUUGGAAUAAAAUCCAGUUAAAUAAUUACUCCCAUUUCUCCCACAUCCUCUCAAAAUUUUUAAUUAGGGGCAAGGGGAGGAUUUAAUAAGCAAAAAUAGCACAAAAUUAUCCAAUUGUGACAGUUCUUAUCACAUUUCACUUUGAAUUAUAGUUAAUAUGGUUAAUUUUUGAUAUCCCAGUUAGAGCAUGAGCUAUUGCCUUACUAGUGCCCACAUAUCCCCACAUAUGCUUAUUUAAAUGUUUGCUAAAUUCAAGCAAAAACUUAGCCCUGGAGUCAGUCAGAUCUGGGAUGAAUCUUGGCUCAAGCCCUUAACUAGUUAUUUGACCCCCUAAGCAAGUGUCUCAGUUUUCUCACAUAUAAAACAGAGGCUAAGAGUACCUAUCAUGGAGUUUUGAGACUCAAUGAGAUAAUAUAUAAGGUGCUUUGUACCAUUACUAGCCCACAGCAAAUGCUCAAUAUAUGUAAGCUGUUAUUAUUAAACUCCAACAUAAUCUGCUAAUUUACCUCAAAAAAGCACUCAUACUUCUCAGUUCAAAACAAAGAGGAAAAGCAGGUCCCUCAGCUGUGGUUUACAGGUACUAAUAUGCAAGCACUGCCUGUGUGGCGCAGUGCUACCUGUGAGGUUCUCCAAGCACUCCUUCCUUCUCUGAACCACAGCUUCCUCAUCUGCAAUAACCUCCCAGCUCCAAUGUCAAUGUUAUGGACACCUGUGUGGGCCCUCAAUCAUGCAGAUGGCUGGUUACUAAGGGAGAAGCCAGACACACAGACUUCAAAGAACUGAGAUGGAAAAGAAGAGCCAGGAGUCAGCCAGGGAGGGCAAAGGCAACCCCACCAACUGAAAACACUGAUGGCUGCACUCAACAUUCAUUGCUGUCGGUGGGUUUGAGUCUGAAUCAACUCACUGAUCAAUGAAUGCAAACUGCGGACCAAACAACCCAAAGGAAGCAAAAGCAUGUGCAGAGAGUCGCCUGAGUGCAGCAGCUACUGCUGUGAGUGGGAGCUGCUACUAUUUCCAAAACACUAGCUAAAGCUUUUCUUGUUCUCCUUGGUUCUAACAUGGAGUAAGUUCUCUAAAUUCCUAGUACUUUUCUCCUUUUUCAAUAGUCUAGAUUUAAGGAAAUGAUAUUUUAUAGGAAGAAUUAAAUACAUAUCUGGAUAUCACAUCACAUUUUAAAAAUCAGUACAUUCAGAAUUUCUAAACAGAAUCAUAUGCUUAUUAUUUAGAAAUUCAAAUACAAAAAUAUACAAAGUAAAAAUUGAAAAUCCCUUCAAUCAUCAUCUGCAAUCCAUUUCCUCGGAGGAAAACAUGUAUAAUUAUAAUAAACUUAUUAAGAUAAUAAAUAUCAUAACUAGAAUUUAUUUUAUAUCCUUGAAGACCUUUAUCCAUACAUACACAGAUAAAUAGCUGUAAUUUUGCAUGUUUUGGGGGGAGAGUGGCUUAGACAAAAAUAAGCUCAUUUUUACCUAUUGUUCUAUAAUCUAUUUUGUUAUUCAGCUAUAUAUCAUAGACUUCCACAACAGUCUUUUAUGUACUCGUCAUUCUUUUAAAUGGCUAUAUAGUAUGACUUAAUAUGAAUGUUCUGGUUAUUAUUCAGAUGUACAUCAAUAUUCUCUUUUGACAAAAACUAUGAGGCUCAUUCAUUCUAACCUUUGCAAACCAUGUCCCUCAAACAGGAAAAACACCUAAGUGAGAUAGAAGAUGUACAUUUUUCUUAACAAAAAAUUUAAAUGUAGUAUCAACUCUCUAAAUCCUGUAACAUGAGAUAAGCCACUAAAUCCCAUGUUAAAGAAAGAAAAACAAGGCCCUUGGUCAUGAAUAAUUUAUCAUACACUUAAGUCUAAGAAGAAGCAGAUUCUCAUAGCAAAAGUCAAAUAAGACAGUAAGAGAAGAGUCUUGUCAAAUUAGCCUUGACAAUUAAGCAAGCCUUAAUUUGACAAGGCUUUCCUGUCAAAUUAGGAAGGAGAAGUGAUGGGGUAAUGAGACAAGAACCAGAAAGAGAAAUCAAAGCCAAAAGAAAAAUCUAAAGAAAACUAUGAGAGUUCAGAGAAAAUAUCAGGUUCAAGCCAGUGUUUCCCAAACUUCUUGUACACCAGAAUCAUCUAGAGUUGCUUUUAAAAUGGCAAAUUCCUGAGCCCUACUCUAGACGAGGUGAUUUUGGGUCACUGGAAGCUGGAAGCAAAGUAAAUAAAGUUCACUAGCUUAACAUCGGCUUCCUGCCCCCAUCCCACCACCACAUUUCAUGUCAUCCACUUUUCAACUAUUGCCCAACCUUUUGUGUCACCACCUGAAAUCGCCACUAUUCUGCUGAGUGCAGACAGGUAGAGUCACAUUUGUGCUGCUUUUAAGUAUCUCCAGACUACAUAAAAUUUUGCACCAUGUUUGGUGGCCAAAUAUACAUCAAAUUGUGUCUGAUGUUUUAUGGAAAUGAAUGGAUUUGGAUUUACGCUAUCUAAAAAACUAAAACCUACCCAAAGAAAUUACCAAAAGGUUUUUUUGUGUGUGUUUUUCUUUCGUUUGUUUGUUUUUUUGAGACAGUCUUGCUCUGUUUCCCAGGCUGGAGUACAGUGAUGCGAUCUCGGCUCACUGCAACCUCUGCUUCCUGGGUUCAAGUGAUUCUCGUGCCUCAGCCUCUCAAGUAGCUGGCCCGCCACCACACCCAGUCAAUUUUUGUGUUUUUAGAAGAAAUGUGUUUUUAGUAGAGCCAUGUUGGCCAGGCUGGUCUCAGACUCCUGACCUCAAGUGAUCCGCCCGCCUCGGCCGCCCAAAUUGCUGGGAUUAUAGGCAUGAGUCACCGCGCCCGGCCCGAGGGGGUCUUUAUAGAAGAGUUUUUUGUGAGACUGGUAGACACACAGAAGGUACUCCACGCAGUCUUGUUUUUCAAGAUGCUGUGCAUUCUAGGCAUUUAUUUUUAACCAAUUAUUUCCAAAAUUUCUGAAAACAUUAGAAAAGAAUGUCUGACACGUACUUUGAAAAAUGUACACUUGAACAAGCA